rnacentral:rRNA from 1 species
CCCCUCGAGAUGAGAUUUCCCACAGCAUUAAGCUGGUAAGAUCCCUUAGAGAUGAUGAGGUAGAUAGGUUCGGGGUGGAAGCGUGGCAACACGUGCAGCUGACGAAUACUAAUCGAUCGAGGGCUUAACCUA